rnacentral:rRNA from 1 species
AGUGAACGCUGGCGGUAGGCCUAACACAUGCAAGUCGAACGGCAGCACAGUAAGAGCUUGCUCUUACGGGUGGCGAGUGGCGGACGGGUGAGGAAUACAUCGGAAUCUACUUUUUCGUGGGGGAUAACGUAGGGAAACUUACGCUAAUACCGCAUACGACCUACGGGUGAAGCAGGGGAUCUUCGGACCUUGCGCGAUUGAAUGAGCCGAUGUCGGAUUAGCUAGUUGGCGGGGUAAAGGCCCACCAAGGCGACGAUCCGUAGCUGGUCUGAGAGGAUGAUCAGCCACACUGGAACUGAGACACGGUCCAGACUCCUACGGGAGGCAGCAGUGGGGAAUAUUGGACAAUGGGCGCAAGCCUGAUCCAGCCAUACCGCGUGGGUGAAGAAGGCCUUCGGGUUGUAAAGCCCUUUUGUUGGGAAAGAAAAGCAGCAGGUUAAUACCCCGCUGUUCUGACGGUACCCAAAGAAUAAGCACCGGCUAACUUCGUG